rnacentral:rRNA from 1 species
UACGGGGGGUGCGAGCGUUGUCCGGAAUCACUGGGCGUAAAGGGCGCGUAGGUGGUCUGAUAAGGGUGUGGUGAAAGCCCGGGGCUCAACCCCGGGUCGGCCGUGCCGACUGUUAGACUAGAGUGCUGUAGGGGCAGGCGGAAUUCCGGGUGUAGCGGUGGAAUGCGUAGAGAUCCGGAGGAAGACCGGUGGCGAAGGCGGCCUGCUGGGCAGAUACUGACACUGAGGCGCGACAGCGUGGGGAGCAAACAGG